UAACGCCGGCGGCGUGCCUAAUACAUGCAAGUCGAGCGAAUGGAUUAAGAGCUUGCUCUUAUGAAGUUAGCGGCGGACGGGUGAGUAACACGUGGGUAACCUGCCCAUAAGACUGGGAUAACUCCGGGAAACCGGGGCUAAUACCGGAUAACAUUUUGAACCGCAUGGUUCGAAAUUGAAAGGCGGCUUCGGCUGUCACUUAUGGAUGGACCCGCGUCGCAUUAGCUAGUUGGUGAGGUAACGGCUCACCAAGGCAACGAUGCGUAGCCGACCUGAGAGGGUGAUCGGCCACACUGGGACUGAGACACGGCCCAGACUCCUACGGGAGGCAGCAGUAGGGAAUCUUCCGCAAUGGACGAAAGUCUGACGGAGCAACGCCGCGUGAGUGAUGAAGGCUUUCGGGUCGUAAAACUCUGUUGUUAGGGAAGAACAAGUGCUAGUUGAAUAAGCUGGCACCUUGACGGUACCUAACCAGAAAGCCACGGCUAACUACGUGCCAGCAGCCGCGGUAAUACGUAGGUGGCAAGCGUUAUCCGGAAUUAUUGGGCGUAAAGCGCGCGCAGGUGGUUUCUUAAGUCUGAUGUGAAAGCCCACGGCUCAACCGUGGAGGGUC
rnacentral:rRNA from 1 species